AAAAACAGUUAUUUGAUGAUUUAUUUCGAUUGUAUAAAGAAUGACAGUUAACGAAUGUCAAGAUCAAUCACUGAGGAUUGUUUGGCUUGAUGCAAUGACCUUAAACAGUUAAAGGAUUUUCCAGGAAGGUUUAUACACCACAAGCUGGAUUCUUUUGGGUGAUGAAAGAACUAUGAAUAUGUGAAUGGGAAUGAAACAGAAGGAAUUAGUAUGUUCU
rnacentral:lncRNA from 1 species